CCUACGGGGUGCAGCAGUGGGGAAUAUUGGGCAAUGGGCGCAAGCCUGACCCAGCAACGCCGCGUGAAGGAAGAAGGCUUUCGGGUUGUUAACUUCUUUUAAGAGGGAAGAGCAGAAGACGGUACCUCUUGAAUAAGCCACUGCUAACUACGUGCCAGCAGCCGCGGUAAUACGUAGGUGGCAAGCGUUGUCCGGAUUUACUGGGUGUAAAGGGCGUGUAGGCGGGAUGACAAGUCAGAUGUGAAAUUCCGGGGCUCAACCCCGGACCUGCAAUUGAAACUGUUGGUCUUGAGUAUCGGAGAGGCAGGCGGAAUUCCUAGUGUAGCGGUGAAAUGCGUAGAUAUUAGGAAGAACACCAGUGGCGAAGGCGGCCUGCUGGACGACAACUGACGGUGAGGCGCGAAAGCGUGGGGAGCAAACAGGAUUAGAUACCCGGGUAGUC
rnacentral:rRNA from 1 species